CACGUAGGGUGCGAGCGUUUGUCCGGAAUUAUUGGGCGUAAAGAGCUCGUAGGCGGUGUGUCGCGUCGGCCGUGAAAACCUGCAGCUUAACUGUGGGCUUGCGGUCGAUACGGGCAUCACUGGAGUUCGGCAGGGGAGACUGGAAUUCCUGGUGUAGCGGUGAAAAUGCGCAGAUAUCAGGAGGAACACCGAUGGCGAAGGCAGGUCUCUGGG
rnacentral:rRNA from 1 species